GAAAUCAGGAAAAAGAGAUAUUUGUCCUAAUUUUAAUCUUUGUUUAUAUUUACAUAGACUUGGAAAAAAUGUUCUGCAUUUUAUACCAGAGAACAAAUACAGAGGAGAGAGAGCAACUAAGUGCUCUGUGUCUCUGCCUGCUAUUUUAACAAGAGGUCCCCAUGCUGAUACGGGUUUGUAUCAUCAUUGGCUAAGGAUUCUGUGCUUUUAAAAAAAUUACUAGCUAGGUCACAAACUCAUUUUACCUGUCAUCUCCUGGAUGAAGGAAACAGUAUGAUUGUUGAAAUGAUUGUUAAAUGGCUGAUGUUGGUGCCUCUUGGUCAGUUUAAAAUACUAAUCUAACUUUUUUUAGGGUAUUGAGAGUGUUAUUACAUGGAUGGGCAACAGUUCUUCACUUGAGUUUGGUUCACUGUUUUUGUUUGUUGAAACACUGGCAAAAAUUACAAGUUUUUUAUUUUCUAUUUUUAUUAUGCAGAAGGCCCAAGUUGUAACAUUCAGGACAUGGACUUUUUGAAAAUAUGAUGGAGUCUUAGGGCAAGAACUAAGUUGGUUUCCUGCCAGAUCAGAGCUGCUGCCUGGGGAAAACAAGCAAUAGAGGAAAGGCUACUAAGAGAUUGUUUUUUUUCUUUUGACAGCUGCCUAAUCUAUCUGAAUUUGGAAGGUCAUAGUCAGAAGGCAUAGAAGGAGUAAUAAUAGCAAAGUGUGUUUUAGAGAAUGCCCUGCUGCUUUAUGGCUAUCAGGAAAAUACCACAGGAAUGAAUUUUUAAAAAUAGCUCAGUGUUACAGGCACAGGGGGUGUGACUGUGGCUGCAGGAAAAUGUUCUAGUUUCUUUUUUCCUAAAGUCAAAAAAUUCCUGUUUGCUUAAUAUUUAUCUCGAGAAAUAAAUUGGCCUCUCGUGCCAGAGAAAACAGUGUUUGGGUUCAGCAAGUCCUGAGGCAAAGAAACUUUGUUAUUGUUUCGGCAGGAUCUGGAAAAUGCUGCCAGGUGCAGUGCUCGAUACCUAACUUCAAUGUUCCUUGUAGAUGGGGAGGCCUGAACUUAAAAGUAUGCAGCUGAGGAGAAAGGCUUUGAUAGCCUGUUUUUCAUCAAAAGCUCAAGACCACAGCAGCCCAGAGAGCUGGAAGAUGGAAAGAAGAAAGUUGAGGUCUUGGAAUAAACUGGAGGGUAAAAUGCUUUUGGAGAAACUCUGAAAGCUUUGUGAGGAGGAGGAAAAGGAAGUGUGGGGGGAUGAGAGACACAGAAGGAGGGAAGCUGUACCCCACAUGGUGUGCUGUGGUGAGCACAUGCAGCUCCAAAGCACACACACCAGCAAGGUAAGAAACACUCCAGUUCUGAGUUUACAGCCCUGGCUGCUUGCUGCUUAAUCAAAGACUUGGUCAUGCUUAGAAGCAGGACCAGUGCCCACUCACCUGCUGUCAGUCCAGUGCACCCUCAGCAUCCCAGCUCCUGGGCUGCCCUGGCACUGUGGUGUGCCUGUGUGCAUUCAGGAGCUUGUGCUUCAUGGAAUGCCCAGUUGGGAAGGCUUACAGACAAGUGGAAAUUCUUCCAGUUCGAUUUGUGGAGACUUGGUUUGAAUCUGUUCACACCUGGAGGCUCCAGCCCUCAGUGAAGCUGGGGCAGUAGAGGCAGGAUUGGGUCCUGCCAAGAGUCAGAGCCUCAGCUGGGGCUGGUAGCAAGCAGCAAAACCUCUCCACCAGCCCACAGGGUUCCAAUGACUGGAGUUAGAGGAGGCAGCUUGAGAAGGCAUUUUACAGGUGAGACUAUAAACACUAUAAAGUGUAGUUUAUACAAUUGCUGGCUCUCUGUUGAAGAGCUUUUGAUAGGUUGAUUUCACUGUGGCUAAAUUGGAAGCUGUGCAGAAAAGUAGAAGUGUCCUGAAAUGUGAGGCUGCAAGAGCUCUCUCUGCAUGUCCUCACACUGCUCUGGUUUGUAUUGGUACAAAUGCAGUGUUUAAAAGUCUUUGAAUGUUGGUAGCUUUGUUUAGUUGAAGUUGAAGUUUAGUUACCUCUGGGGCCCUUACAGUGGUCUGCAUAUGAGAUAGGAAUGACAUGUUGUACCUAGGUAGGAUGAAAAACAGCUGUGGUGCACAGUAGAAUGUGAUAGAGAAGGAAGGGAUGUUGCAUUUCAAUUCUUUGCUGUGGGCAAAAAGGAUUGUUCAUUUUCAGAGACAGGAAAUAUAGGAUUUUAAACAAUAUUUCUUACUUUUGAGUAAAGACUCCAUUUACAGCAUCAGCUUUGAACUGCUGCUUGGAUGUUUAUUUCUGGAGAACAUGCAGUGAGUUUCCCAAAUGCUUGGCAAGGAACAGGGGCCUGUUAAAAAUUAACUAGAAGCUGAGAUAAAUCACAUACAAAUAGCUCAGGGAGCAUGGUGAAUUCAUCAGUGUCUGACGGACUUGCUUGUCUCAUGGCUGCCCAAGUUCCUCUGCAACAUGUUUUGGGUUUCUUAGCUUUGAGAUGCCCUGUCUAUCAUCUCCUUCAGGAGAGAAUGUCAGAUGCAUUUCUUUGAGCAUCAUUUUAAUGUCUCGCCUGAGUCCAGUGGUGAAAAAGGGAUGAAUGAAAAAGUUCCAGACUUCUGUAAGUCAAAGAUCUGUUAAUAAAGUUUCUCCCCUGCAAAAAUGCUGGAUAACAGAGGCUUUUAAUUUGUUACUGCUUUGAACUAGCUACUGUUGCAGGUUGACCUGAGUCUCUGUGACUGAGCAUCAGGAGGACAGUGUGAGGCAGGAGAAUUUGUGAGUUCAAAGGGAAUGGCACUUACCUGCUCUAGGUGUAUUUGCUUGCUUCUCUUAUCUGUCAUGUGGGUGAGUUUAUUCACCUUUCUUACAGCAGUAUGAAAAAGGGUGUGGAGAGGUGCACAGAAAAAAUUACUGCUCAUCCCUUGAAUGUGUUCAGGAAGCUCACAAGCAGCCUGACUCCCUCCACUGAAAGGCUGGUGGGCAAGGCUUGAGACCACUGGAGCAACCUGUGCCUGUUCUGCUGCAGCUCUGUGCAGUUCCCUUAUGAGUGCAAGAUGUUUCUCUUCCCGGAGGGAAGGGACUUGUUACCACUGAAACAUGAAGCAGGGAUUGUCUGUAUUGAGAGUCAGGACAGAGCCACCAUUCCAAGGAUAUUUUUGAUAGCAAGAUUUGAAAAUCCCCCUCACAUAUAUAUUUUGCAUGCUGCAGGAUUACCUUGUAGUUGCUGUUGGCAGCCUCAUGUGGUUUGGAGAUGCUGUGUUCCCAGGCUGCUCCAGUCUGACUGGCUGUUGGAAAACUCACAAGUCUUUGUCAGUUCAGGGCCGGAAAUGGAGUCCAGUUGUUUUGCAGUUGUGCACUGCAGAGUGCAAAUUCCAGGACUUCUUGCAUUCCCCAUUUGUGCCUCUUGUACUUUUAUGUGUAGCUGCUUCUUGAAGUGUCCCAAUUCCAAUCUGUCUGCUGCAUGCUCAGGAUAUUGCCUCACUUGGGGUGUUUGUGUGGUUUGUUACCUGCAGACUCGGACCCAGUUAUAGUACACAGGAUUUCAACUGGAGCAUCAAGUGCAGAGGGUGGUACAGAAUGAGUCUCCUCUGGUGAGGGUCUCUCUUUAGGGAGCAAGCAGGCUUCCAUGAGAGGGAAGGAAAAGCUCCUUACCUUAAUUAGGGCACAUGAAAGUUUGAAUUUGCCCUGUGUCUAUUUAGUAGCCUAGCUGAUACCUCUGGCAAAACCUGAGAGAAAAAUGAAGAGAGUUCUGUGCAUUAGGCACCACCUGGUCACAGCCAGCCACAGAGAAGGGUAGUCAUCAUUUGUUUGCUGCAAUGCCAGGCACUCUUUGGACAAGUGGUACCCUGGGAGGGGAUGGCUGAAUGAAAGCUGAAGAACAGUGUCAUGAAGAACUCGUGUGAGAGGCUGUGGGCUGGAGAUCUGUGGCCAAGUUGUAGUUGAAUCCUUACAAUUCCUGUCUAGCUCUCUAACUGCCAGCGUAAUCUGAUCAAAGGCCUCAUGGUGAUGAAGGCAUUCCUUGAUGUACCAUGUACUUUCUCUGCCUGUUUUUUGUAUUAAUGUAAUAUUUUUUCAAGCCUGUCACAUGUUUUUAUUUGGCAAGCAAAUUACUCCGAAAAUACCUGGCAGAGCAGUUCACAGUGAAUUUCACAGUGAAUUUCACAGUGAGUGUGCCAGGGCUGUUUGCUAAUACACACAGAUAAGCUGCCGGAAUGCCAAGGUCUCCUAAUCCCCAAAAACACCGCCUGAUGUACCUUAUGAGUAAUUAAACAUCACUCAGUUCUAAGAGGCAACCCUCAGUAACAGAGUUCACCCAACUAUAAUAUCUUUAAAAUCAGGAUAGAACCAGUGGCAUAUGACAGGAGGAUGACUGAAUUACUCACAGUUUAAUGACCCCUCUGACUAUGCAAUAGGGGUUCCUGGUUCCUAUGCAAACUGAUGGUCUCCACUUUAUUAUUAGUGAGCAGUUCCAGUGGCUUCAAACCCUAUGCAUUCAGAAAUGGCUAAAGAAAUCUCCUAGACUACUAGCAAGAAUCAUGCACAUUUGAGAGAGAACACUCAGCAGUGGGAUAUGGAAACUUUGAAGAGCUCCAACAACUUUGAUCCUCCAACUGAUCCAGGAAACUGAGAUAAGAUGACAACAUUCUUUGAGCCAACUCAGAACUUCAAAGGGAUGGAAGUCAAAGCGUCUCUCUUGAAUGCUCCUCUGAAUUCCUCUUAAUCAAAUUUCUUGCAGUUAUUUUUCUAAUUUAAAACAUAACUGGCACUGCUCACUACUUAUUUGCGCUUGGUUCUCUACUCUUAUUGUGCUGGAUGUCAGGAUGGACUUUGCUGAGGAUUCUGGUGGUGUCAUCACCAGCUGAGGUGACAUGCAUUGCAUGAGCUCCUCCCAAAUGAGGAGCUCUUGCUUUUGUGCUAGACUUGAACCCAGUGUGAGAAUCAAAGUAACUUUUCAUUGGAAGGCUUUUUUUUCUGUUCUUUGCAGUUCAAAGACACUGAUACUGAACUGGAGUGUAUUCCAGGUGUUUGUCAAACUCAAAAUGAAUACUGUAUCAAGAGUACUCAGGAUAAGUCUAAAAUGAGAACAUGGGCUGCUGAAAUGCAUGGCAAGUUAAAUCCUGGGAGAAAAGGGUGACAGGACUAUUCCUGGCCUGAAGAGAAGUCCAAAAGUAUUAAGUAUUAAUACUUAAGUAUUAAUACUUAAGUAUUAAGUCCAAAAGUUCAAAGUAUUAAGCUAAAAAAAUUAUUGGGAAAGUGCUGUAGUAACUCAUGGUCAGAGGAAAGCAGAGAGGAGCAUCCUUACCCUGUGUGCCAAAUGGAUCUUGGCUUCCUUGCUCAAACACUGAAUACAGGUUUGAAAGAGGUCACAACAAGUGCACAGGGAGAAUUGGUAAAAGCAGAGCCACUAGAAUGUGAUUUGAUUCAUUUUGUACUUGCAAUCCUGAAAACCUAUGUGGGGCUGAUUUCUGAAAUCUAGAGGUGGUUCAGUCUGUACUGUUGAAAACUUCUCUUUAUGCACCCUGAUGGUCUUUGGUCUGUUGGCAUUUUAAACAAAUGGAGCAUUACAGACAUUCCAAAUGCAUUUCCUCAUUUAUCGCUAGGUCUGCUUGAUGCAGUAGGUGGGGGUCUGAAAAAGGAAUCUCCUCAAGCUGUGAAAGUUAAUGCAGUCUUCUUUCAAAUCAUUGCUGAAACUUGCCACUAAAAUGUUUUGCAUUUCUUUCUAAAGCUGCAGGUUUACACCAAUGCAUUGUUCAAUUUAUUUUUUUGUUUUAAUUGAUGUGGAAAAUCUGAAGUUAUAAAAUGCUGUGUGACUAUGGGAUGUCAGGAUUAAAUAGCAGGAAAACCUCAGGCUGUAUUUUCAUCCCUUUCUUGAGGCUCACAUGGAAAGGGCAGUCCUGACUGAGGUGUGUGGCUGGAGGGAGCUGCCUGAAAAGCACCUGGAGAGCAAGACCUGGAGAAGGAUCCUUACAACAGAACCUCUGAGUGACUUCACGUUGUCUAUUCAAAAGAUGGAGAGAAGGCAACACACAGAGUCACAGCACAACCAGCUUUGGAGGCUUGUGCCACCUGUGGGAAGGGACCAUUCCUGGCAGUGUCAACAGGCUCAUCCUUACAAGAUCCAAGUUCAUCUUCUCCUGGCU